CCACCAACAAUUGCAAUUGCGUGGUUUAGUUUGCCUUGCCAUCACUCAGAGCUUUUAAUACUGUGACGUGCAACAGACAACAGUUGCUCAUUCAGGGUGCUUGGAUUCUUUUUCAAGGUUUCAACAUGGUGAUGAUGGGCUUGGAGAGGUUGGUGGUGACUCUGAAGUCCAAACUAAGAUCGCUGCGACCGAAGAAACCAUACGAUAAGAUAGACAAGAGUGAAAGCAUGAGGGUAGAGAUGAGAAGCAGAAAAGCCCAGAAGCUAAUAGCCCGGACUCUCAAGAUUGCAGAUUCACCAAGGAACAGAACUUAUGCUUUCUGACUGUUUUGUAUCAAUAAGUUGCAUACAGGGUUCCUCUUUCCCUGCCUUCAAUGUCCAUCUAUCUUGGGUUCCAAAGAAACAAUAAAUUAAAUUGGCUUUAGUUGUUUAUCUUCU